rnacentral:SRP_RNA from 1 species
GCAGGGCACAGUGGUGGGUGCCUGUAGUCCCAGCUAUUCGGGAGGCUGAGGCUGGAGGAUCUCUUGAGUCCAGGAGUUCUGGGCUGUAGUGCUCUAUGCCGAUCCGGUGUCUGAUUGGGUGUCCGCACUAAGUUCAGCAUCAAUAUGGUGAACUCCCGGGAGCAGGGGACCACCAGGUUGCCUAAGGAGGGGUGAACUGGCCCAGGUCGGAAAUGGAGAUCAAAACUCCCGUUCUGAUCAGUAGUGGGAUUGCACCUGUGAAUAGCCACUGCACUCCAGCCUGGGCAACAUAGCGAGAUCCUGUCUCU